rnacentral:rRNA from 1 species
UACAGAGGGUGCGAGCGUUGUCCGGAAUUAUUGGGCGUAAAGGGCUCGUAGGCGGUUUGUCGCGUCGGGAGUGAAAUCCACUGGCUUAACUGGUGGCUUGCUUUCGAUACGGGCAGACUGGAGGUAUGCAGGGGGAGAACGGAAUUCCUGGUGUAGCGGUGAAAUGCGCAGAUAUCAGGAGGAACACCGGUGGCGAAGGCGGUUCUCUGGGCAUGUCCUGACGCUGAGGAGCGAAAGUGUGGGGAGCGAACAGG